CGGAGGGAUCAUUAAAGAGUUCUAUAACUCCCAAACCCAUGUGAACAUACCUAACGUUGCCUCGGCAGGUCGCACCUACCUUGUAGCACCCUACCCUGUAGGGCCUACCCGGGAGGUGCGGGUAAGCCUGCCGGCGGCCCACCAAACUCUGUUUGAUAUUGAAUUCUGAACCUAUAACUAAAUAAGUUAAAACUUUCAACAACGGAUCUCUUGGUUCUGGCAUCGAUGAAGAACGCAGCGAAAUGCGAUAAGUAAUGUGAAUUGCAGAAUUCAGUGAAUCAUCGAAUCUUUGAACGCAUAUUGCGCCCAUUAGUAUUCUAGUGGGCAGGACCGUUCGAGCGUCAUUUCAACCCUUAAGCCUUCGUUGCUUAGUGUUGGGAGCCUACGGCACCGUAGCUCCUCAAAGUUAGUGGCGGAGUUGGUUCACACUCUAGACGUAGUAAUUUUUUUAUCUCGCCUAUUAGUUGGACUAAUCCCCUGCCGUAAAACCCCCAAUUUAUCAAGGUUGACCUCGAAUCGGUUCAGACAAACUCGCUAAAUUGAAGCAUCUUAGUCAGCGAAGGAAAAGAAACCAACAGGGAUUGCCCUAGUAACGGCGAGUGAAGCGGCAACAGCUCAAAUUUGAAAUCUGGCCCUCGGG
rnacentral:rRNA from 1 species